rnacentral:rRNA from 1 species
AUGGCCAUGGCAACCACCUCCUCCCGACUCACCACCACCCAGUACUCCUUCCUCUCCUCCACGCCAUGCUCGCCCACCACCAUGGCGGCGCUCCCGCGGCGGCGGAGAGCCGGCGCGCGGUACCCACGUAUCCAGGCCAUCGAGUUCGACCAGAACACGGUUGUGGCCAUAACUGUCGGCGUCGUCAGCGUCGCCGCGGGGAUCGGCAUCCCGAUUUUCUACGAGAAUCAAAUUGACAAUUCCGCAAAGAGAGACAACAACCAGCCGUGCUUCCCCUGCAGCGGCUCCGGCGCGCAGGUAUGCAGGUUUUGCACGGGAGCAGGGACUGUUACUGUAGUAAUCGGCAAUGGUGAAUCUGAAGUAUCGAAGUGUGUCAACUGCGAUGGCAUUGGCUCAUUGACAUGCACCACGUGCCAAGGUAGUGGCAUUCAGCCACGCUAUCUUGAUCGCAGGGAGUUCAAGGAUGAUGAUGACUGA